CCGGCGACCGGCGCACGGGUGAGUAACACGUAUGCAACCUGCCCUCUUCAGGGGGACAACCUUCCGAAAGGGAGGCUAAUCCCGCGUAUAUCGGUUUCGGACAUCCGAGAUCGAGGAAAGAUUCAUCGGAAGAGGAUGGGCAUGCGGCGCAUUAGCUAGACGGCGGGGUAACGGCCCACCGUGGCGACGAUGCGUAGGGGUUCUGAGAGGAAGGUCCCCCACACUGGUACUGAGACACGGACCAGACUCCUACGGAAGGCAGCAG
rnacentral:rRNA from 1 species